CUCCUCUCCGAAUAAAAUACCCUUCCUUAACUUGCCCGUGUAACGCAGCUUCUCACAGGAAGCCUCCCAACCUGUUUUUACAGCGGAAUGUGGAGUAGUGAGAGGAGGUAACUUUUCUUGUGACACAGGAGGAGCUUGGCCAGGAGGCUAUUGGUCUUGUUAUUGGAACUGUGUGUGCUCAGCUGGGAUGAACAGUGCUGAGAACCCUGACAGGCAUGCAGGAAGCACCAGAAGAAGGACCCGAGAGUCAUCAUGGCAGGAGGUGGGCUCACUCACAUAGUUCUCACUGCACACACACAAGAUUUACACCUCUCAGGCUUGUUCACCAGAAUAAAUACCAACUGGAAAGAAAACCUCCACAAUGUCUGCCAAUGAGCAUUUCAUACAACUCCCAAACAAUUCCUGGACAUACUUGUAUGGGGGGACACCAGCCCAGAAGCAGAGGAGGGGCCAAGUUAUGCCAGGAGCGUCGUUGCUCUGCCUUUGUCUAGCUUGUCUUACCUGCUGAAUGUACCACAGAAGACAGCAGGUUUGUGGAUUUCAGCCAGUGCCAGGAUCCUGGCCAAACUAGGCAAAGGUGCUAGAGGACACUAACCUACGCAGCGCUCUCCUCCCAGGGCUCUGGGGCUGUGAGGAGGAGGAUCUGCAUUCCGGGGAAGCCUGGGCAUCCUGAGACAAGGUGGCACCAUAAGGUGCCUUGACGUCCUGACAGGAGGUCUCUGGACAUAAAGCAAAACAGCGGAAGCAUUUGACUGGCUGGACCUUGCCUGUAACUCCCUUGACUGUUAAAUAAUUGCUGGGGAUCAACACAGGUAAUCACUCCACUUUCACCAAAUACAGGAGGACAUGGAAAUGUGCAGCACUUGAGCACCUAAGUGGGAGUAUUUCUCUCUCCUCCAGCAUCACUCCAUCUCCAAGUCUCUGAAGGCUUUCUUACAGUGGUUAAAGUUGCUUCCAUUCAUCUUCCAACCAUAAAGGAUCUACUGAUUCGUUUUCUUUUGUUUUUAUUAUGUAUCAUAUCAGCUUCUGCUGCUUUAGUUUAUAAUUACAUUGUGAGGAGAAAUUAUAAGGAGAAAAACAUUUAUGUCCAUAUAUGUACAUACACACACACACACACACACACAUACACACAACAUACGUAACAUAUAUCAACCAAAUAUCAGCUGAAAUUUACAAGGAAGAAAAAUUCAGAAAUAUGUGAAGACUGAAAGCUCCACCAGAGUAAGGAUGAAGGCAGUUUUGUUCACCAUUGUGUCCCCGUGCCUCAUACAUGCCUGAUACUUGGCAUGUCUUCAACAAAUAUGGAUGAACGAAUAAGUGAAUCCAGCUCUUCACCAGAGAUUACAAUAGCAUUGAAAGUAAAGCCAAUAAGACCAAAUGAGGAAAAAAAUGUCAUUUAAGAACAUAAAGGUAGAUGUAAAAUGCAGCCCAAGCCCGAACAGGAUCCUUGACCCUCAUCAUCCGACCCUGUGGAUCGCACCACACAAGUCCCACUGCUUCAUGUAUCAAGCAAUCCAGUCUCGUGAUGAACAUUGACGAAGCCAAGAGUAUUCACGGGCAAUUUGAAUUUGGCCUUGGCCAGCUCUGAGCAUGAUCCUAAGUACCUGCUGCUGAAUAGGUUAAUGAAUUACAGGGAUCAAAUCUCUGAGGGCCACCAAGGUACAGGGAAGUGGGAAGCAGUAGCGAUUAAAUGCACCAUGUCAGGAGAGAACCUGUUGUCUUCUUGUUUGUUUUUUUGGUGAGGAAGAUUGGCCCUGAGCUAA